AUGGGAUUUUUGGGUCCCUCCCCUCAGGCCAGGCCAGUCCUGGGUGGAGCUUUCGGCCAUCUUGGCCUCGGGGGCGGAGCCGGAAGUGCUGGUGUCAAUCAAGGCUUUAUGCAAAUCCAGGGAGGCGGAGCUACAGUGGGCCCAUCCCCCCAGGCUCUGCUGAUUGGCCACAGCCCCGAGGCCGUGCUGUGGGCGUUGGAGGCGCUGGCCAAUCAGAGCACGAGGUGGGCGUGGCUUAGGGUGUGGGAGUGGC
rnacentral:lncRNA from 1 species